UAUUGGAGGUUAGCUAUCAUUAUGGCUAUUCUGACUUUGGAUGCUGAUGCUCUAAAAAGUUGUAAGGAUGUGCAUCCAAACCAUUCCUGCAAAUUUUUGAGAGAGGAUGUUCUUCGUUUUCCGAGACUACAUGAUUAACUGCACAGUGCUCCAAGAAGUUCAGAAGCCAACAAUCCUCUCUGCAGAAAUGGGUGCAUUAAAAAGAAUUCCUUUGUCAACCUUUGUCUCUCUGUCUAUGAGGCCAACAGGGAAACAAGGCUCCAAACAGCAUUGAAUUAAGAACUAAUUGGGAUGGUGUCAGGCUGCACAGUCAGCCUUCCAAUGUACAUCCUCAUUAUGAUAAGCCUAUACUUCUUCUGUUGCUUCUGAGAAACGUUUACCCUCAGUUUUAAUUACUGCACUUAGAAUAUGGUGCAACGGCUUGAGCACAAAUUGAUCUUGCUUCUAAGCCAGGAAGCUUGUUUUCUUCCCUUUUAUGAUAAUAAAUGUGCCACUGAUAAUGGCGAAGGCACAACAGAAUGGUGCAGCAUUGUGUGCUGAGCACACUUCUCGUUUUUCUUGUUAUGUGUUACUGAUGCGACAGUUUGCAAACAUUUAACAAAACAAAUUAACAGGCUGGCCUUUUUUUCUUCCCGGGUUUGUAAUUUCAAUCUUCUCGACAGCCACAGCUGCAAUUAGUAAUGAUCUCACUUAAAACAUCAUUUUGUCAUGAGCAUUCAUGUCCUGUGAGUCUACACUUGCAAAAAAAAUCAGCUCUAUGGUCAGGCUAAAUUGAAUACAAGAUAUCAGAGCAAUUUUGAAAACUCCUCUGUUUCCCCAUUGAAGUAAGAGUUGCUGUUUCAUUGGGAAAUCUGACUUCUAGAGAUAUCAGCAGAGCUCACCAAAUGACACCCCCCCCCGCUUAUUUUUCCUCUCAUUUUUUUCUUUGCUGAGGAAAGAUCUGGUUUGUUAGAGAUGAUGACAUUCUGUUUAAACGUGUGUUAAUUGUAAUUUAGGACUGUAAAAUUCUUUUAAAAAAAUCAAAAUUCUGUAAUAAAAUAAAUAAUGAGAGCCAGACUAAA